rnacentral:rRNA from 1 species
GGCAACUGGAGUGGAAGGAGUGUGGGGAAUAAGGAGGUGGCAAGUGUUGUCGGGAAUUAUGGGGCGUAAAGGGAGCGCAGGUGGGAAUGUAAGUCAAUCUUAAAAGUGCGGGGCUCAACCCCGUGAUGGGAUAGAAACUACAUUUCUUGAGUGCAGGAGAGGAAAGUGGAAUUCCUAGUGUAGCGGUGAAAUGCGUAGAUAUUAGGAGGAACACCAGUGGCGAAGGCGACUUUCUGGACUGUUACUGACACUGAGGCUCGAAAGCUAGGGGAGCGAACGGGAUUAGAUACCCUAGUAGUC